ensembl:lncRNA
GGAUGGGGGUGCGCUAUUGCAUUGACCAGUCAUAUUUUGACACAGGGAUUACGCAAGGAAGUUAACAUUGUGUCUGGGCCUUAGGUUUCAGGAUCCUUGAGUCAGCUUUUGCAGCCAGGUUCCCUCCUGGAUUCUGGUCCGGAAUUUAGAAUGAUAAGAGAACAAAGGAUCAGGCAAGCAGCUUAUAGUCAAUUAAAUCAAGACAGGCAACACAUUUACAACUUGUGUGCUUUAGUUUAGAUAACGGGAUAGCAGCAUCUUUCCUCUUUACAUCUCUCAGUGGUUAACAGACAAACAUGAAACAUCUGAAGAAGCAGGAUAUGAGUUGGGUUUCAGGGCCUGGGAACGCGAACUCAGUUUUGAUCCAGACAGCAAGGUGGACCUCAUUCCUGAGAUGGCUGAACUAAGGAAACUACCUCCUAACAUACACAAUUUUUCCAGAAAUGCAAAGGACAUUUAAAGAUCCAACCAAGAGAAAACAUACGCUUUGUCAUUGGAAGGUCAAUUUCAGAGGACAGGCAAUGUUAACAACAAAAGUGUUCACUCAAGGCGCCUCAGUGGCUUCACUGAGAUGGAGAAGAAAGGAGAGCUUUGGGGGAGAUGUUUCCUUUGGAGGUGACGCCAGGAGAAGGUGUUCAAAGGCUUCUUGAAAAUGGCGGACGCUGGGUAAAGACAGAAAGAUCCCGUGGACAAACGAACAGGUUUGUGUUCCUUAGGAUGCUUACUUGAAGACUAGGAUGAGGUCAUCAAGAAUGGAGAGAAGGAUGGGGGAUAAAAACAGACUUUAAAAGCAUUAAAGAGAAUGCCCUAGGACAGAUCUUCAAGCAGCACUUCUUGAGUUUUAUGUAUAUGACAAUCACUGGCCUUGUUGUGAACCUGCAGAUUCUCAUUGGGUGAGCCUGAGAUUUCUGUGUUUCUUAUGAGCAUUGAGAUCACACCUCUAUGGCUUGUCUAUGGCCCUUACUUAGGUAGUAUCCUUACUUUGGUCUGUCCCCAAGUUCCCAGUUCCCACCUACUACUACCCUCCCUUUCCACCAUCUCCAUCUCAGCUUAAUACUUUAACCUCAAGUAUUCUCUACUCUUGCUCCAUUUCACAUAUGUUCUGCUGACCCUCUGUGAUGCUUUGAAUAUACUUUGCCCAGGGAGUGGCACUAUUUGGAGGUGUGGCCUUGUUAGAGGAAGUCUACUACUGUGGGCUUUAAGACCCUCAUCCUUGUUACCUGGAAACCAGUCUUCACCUAGGAGCCUUCAGAUGAAGAUGUAGGACUCUCAGAUCCUCCAGCACCAUGCCUGCCUGAAUGCUGCCAUGCUUUCACCUUGAUGAUAAUGGACUGAACCUCUGAACCUGUAAGCCAGACCCAAUUAAAUGUUGUUCUUAUAAGAGUUGACCUAGUCUUGGGCCUGAGGGAGUUUGAUGCCCCAGUGUAGGGGAAUGCCAGGGUGGGAAGGUGGGCAUGGGUAAGUGUGCAAGGGAAACACCCUUGUAGAAGCAGGGGGAAGGGAAUGGGAUGGGGGGGGGGUUCCAGAAGGGAGACCUGGUAAGGGGGUAACAUUUGAAAUGUAAAUAAAGAAAAUAUCCAAUUAAAGGAAAAAAAUAUU